GGGUGACUAGUCUAGUGGUCAGGACGGUUCGUUGUGGUUUCUCUCCCACUUUCCGAACAAACCCCGGUUCGAUUCCGGGGUCGCCCA